GGCGGCGUGCUUAACACAUGCAAGUCGAACGAAGCACCUCUAAUUGAAGAUUGACGAAGCUUGCUUCUGAUUGAUUCGCCUGAGGUGACUGAGUGGCGGACGGGUGAGUAACGCGUGGGUAACCUACCCUAUACAGGGGGAUAACAGUUGGAAACAGCUGCUAAUACCGCAUAAGCGCACAGCUUCGCAUGAAGCAGUGUGAAAAAACUCCGGUGGUAUAGGAUGGACCCGCGUCUGAUUAGCUAGUUGGUGAGGUAACGGCUCACCAAGGCGACGAUCAGUAGCCGACCUGAGAGGGUGACCGGCCACAUUGGGACUGAGACACGGCCCAAACUCCUACGGGAGGCAGCAGUGGGGAAUAUUGCGACAAUGGGCGAAAGCCUGAUGCAGCGACGCCGCGUGAACGAAGAAGUAUUUCGGUAUGUAAAGUUCUAUCAGCAGGGAAGAAAAAUGACGGUACCUGACUAAGAAGCUCCGGCUAAAUACGUGCCAGCCGCCGC
rnacentral:rRNA from 1 species